rnacentral:tRNA from 13 species
CGAGAUAUAGCUUAAACAAAGCAUCUAGUUUACACCUAGAAGAUUUCACACAUCAUGAAUAUCUUGA